rnacentral:rRNA from 1 species
AUACGGAGGGUGCGAGCGUUACUCGGAGUCACUGGGCGUAAAGCGUCCGUAGGCGGUCGGGUAAGUCGGGUGUGAAAGCCCCGGGCUCAACCUGGGAAGUGCACCCGAUACUGCUCGACUCGAGUGCGGGAGAGGAUGGCGGAAUUCCCGGUGUAGCGGUGAAAUGCGUAGAGAUCGGGAGGAACACCAGUGGCGAAGGCGGCCAUCUGGCCCGCAACUGACGCUGAGGGACGAAAGCGUGGGGAGCAAACAGGAUUAGAGACCCUAGUAGUCC